rnacentral:piRNA from 1 species
UGUGUCUUCCCACUCACACUCUGCGAGC